GGAGGGAACCUGUUCUCUAGCUCAGUGGUAGAACAUCUGCUCUGUACGCAGAAGUCCCCAGGUUCAAUCACUGGCCUCUUCA